GUUUUCUUCCAAACGCGUCCGAGUCUCUUGAUGAGCAGAACUAUCUGUUUCUCUAGUAAUUGGUCGGCUUAAAGGUUCUUCAAGAAGUUGGACUGCUUGCUCGUUUACUCCAUAUGUACAUGAUUCUUCACUCUCUUUACAUCGAGAACAAGGAUAUUGGCGGUCACAUUUGACUUUUCGGCGCCUGCAUCUCAGACAAGAUCUAGCUCGAAUAUUUUUGUGGGCCCUAUUUUUAGAUUUCCCAACCAUAAUUUACCUAAUUACGGUAUUUCUUCUGUAGUAGAAAGUUGGAUAUUUCUAUAAAAUACAAUUCACCAUAAAAAAUUAUACGCACAAACUAAAGGUUUCAUUCAGUAUUAACCUGAUAACCAUCGAACUUUUAAGCUGGGAUUAUGCUUCAAUUGAAUCGAUGAGACUACUAAUAUUUUACUGCAAACAUUUUUAUGAAUGCAAAGGCGGUGUCAACGUUGUGUGGUGGUAAAUAUUGAGUGUGCAGGCUUAAUUAUUUAAAUUCUUCAACGUCUAAAAUACAGUGUAAGCAUCAGAUCUCGAUACCAUUUUUUUCGCAGAGCUUUUAUUUAGAAGAUUUUUAUAGGGAUCAUUUUUUUAGCCUAGAUGCCAAAGGUACUCAACAAUACGUUCCACAGUUGGGUUUGCAGUUGCUUACAAAAUAAACAGCUAAUUGUCA